CAGCCUCAAAUCAUGUCCCUUUGUGGUGAUAAAGAGGACACAGCCUGGUGUGAAGCUACAUUUAUUACGGAAGGAUGCCAGCCGGGACCCGAACACGUCCGAUAUCAUCCAAGAGAAUGUGGCAGCUGAAGGGGGAGAGGCCAAGAAAGAGGCCAAGGGUGAAGACAUUUAGCCACCCCCCCUGAAGUACAUGGCAUCAUUCAACCCUCUUGGUGAGCUGCAGGAAUGUGCUUCCCAUUGCAGUGCACCAGCUCCAUGUACUGAUUUUGGGUGUGAACUUGAUGGGGUUGGAGGAAACUCGACUCGGCCAUCAAGCUCAUCACAAUAUAACAUGAAAAGUGAAAAUUGCUGCACACAACAGCCUGCUGUCUGCACCGGGAGGCAAGGCAGCUCAAAGCCCAGGCUGUUACAACUCCUGGGCAGUUUUUGCCCAGAGCCAGCAAUUUUUUAGGUCCAAUAGGGAUGGAUUUUUUCUGAGGUCAGGUUCAACAUGCUGCAAGAUCUAAGCCUAGUAGGAGAUAUGGGUUACAAGAGAGGAGGUUUGCUCUGGCCUUAUACUAUCAAAGUCCAAAUGCUAAUAGAUUUCUAAGCACAGUAUUUCACUUGCCUUCAGUUUCAACACUUCACUCAUGACUCAGGGGUAUUUCAGUACAUGUUAGCUGGAGCAAACAGACUCUGACAGCCCUGCAGCAAAGAGCACAGGCUUUGUCAAAAGAAGAGAAACUUCGUGGGAUUUGCCAUUAUUUAGUAUUACUCUUGUUACGCCAAAAAAAAAAUUCCAUAUACUUUGCCAAAUAUUGCAAGUAAUGCACCAUUGUUAGUCUUGCCUGUUAUAAAUCAGAUCUUGUUGAAUUAACAAGCUUUGGGUGUCUGCCACUUUCCAGUUGUAAUGCAAGGAAUCAUUUAUCUUCUUCCCUGCCAGAUAUCGCAUGUAAUGCACCGUUGUUGGUUUUGCCUGUUAUAAAUCAGAUCUUGUUCAGCUCACAAGCUUUGAAUAUCUGCCAUUGUUUAUUUCAGGUGUACUGCUUGGAAGCAUUUGUUCUCUUCCCUACCCAACAGUGUGCAAUACUUUAUUGUGGAUUUUGCCUGUUAUGUUUAAUCUUGUUCAGGUAACAAGCUUUUGGUGUCUGCCUUACCUAAUAUGUGCUGCAGUGACACUUGGCUUGGUUUCAUAAUGUGAAAUACAGCAUGUAAUUUCAUCACACUAAGUGUCUAUCAUCACGUGUCUGGCAUCAUUAAUGUGGCUUCCAGGAGUAAUCUUGUUUGUAUUACAGCUUGCAAAUUUUUUUCUGCUUUAUAUGAUAUACAUAAUCACAUAGGUAUGAUUUUUUUUUGACAAAAUGUAAUGGCAGUUGAUAUUCUUGACUAAUGCAUCAUAAACCUUGUGAAAAAUAAUGCUUUUUUGAAGGGGGGGGAUGGACAGAGAGUGGUUUGUUUGGUUGGCUAGUUCAAGGAGUUUCAUAUCAAAUGAUUUUAUUACAUCCAACUUUAAUGUGUGCUAAAAACAUAUAUUUUAUAAUUUUAUUACAUCCAACUUUAAUGUGUGGUUCCUACAAUAAAUGCUACAUGUUUACUGAAGUAGCCUAUGAAAUACAAAUCACUGUCUGCCCUGUAAUUUGGUGUGUCAUACUGCAGCAUAACUUUCCUGCUAUUUUCUUACACUAUGAGUUGCCUUAUUUUGUCUCAUUUGCUGUUAUCAUAUGUGUCUCUGCUGCAUAGUUGUGCCUACUGAGCUUAACCCUAUUCGUUCCGACCCGGGCCACAUUUGCCC